GGACAAUCUGUCGAUCGGAUCGGACGGCGGGGAAGGUACCCACCGGCCACCGUUGUUUCCUUUUUCCGGCGGCAUCCAGGACCUUCCAGAACACCAGGUUCCAGCUUCCUUCGUCCUCCUACUUGCUAAUCGCUAUCACGCCACCGAAACAGUCUCCACCCCCUUCUCCCGGAACCAAAAACCCUAGCAAAGGGAGGGCCCCGCCGCGCGGUGCCAUGGACGCCAUCCGGAAGCAGCUUGACCAGCUCAUGGGCGCCAACCGCAAUGGCGACGUCCGGGAGGUCAGCCGCAAGUACUACGACCGCGACGUCUGCCGCCUCUUCCUCGCCGGCCUAUGCCCCCACGACCUCUUCCAGCUCACCAAGAUGGACAUGGGUCCGUGUCCUAAGCUGCACUCGUUGCAGCUCCGCAAGGAAUACGAGGAGGCCAAAGCCAAAGGUAUGGACAACUAUGAUCGUGAAUUGGAAGAAACUAUAGAAAGACUGAUAGUUGAGUGCGAGAGAAAGAUUCAAAGAGCCCUUAAGCGUUUGGAGGAGGAAGACGCCAAGGCAGCUAUUGCAAUUUCUAUCACUGAGGUUACACAGAGUAGAGAGGUACUCGAGUUCUCCAAACAAAUUAAGGAGAAGAUGAAGGAGAUAGACACUUUUGACUUUGAUGGAAACACUGAGGGAAAAAUUCGGGCUACUGAAGAGGUUGAUAAACUCAAGGAACAGAGAGCUGAAGAGCAGGCAAAGCUGCUCCUUGAAGCCUUUAAUAAGGACCGUGUUUUGUUAGUGAAUUCUCUCCAAACUGCUACGCAAUCAACAGCACAUGCUGCUCCAGAUGCUCGUACACAAGAAAUGAUUAAUGAAAAGCUCAAAAAAGCAGAGGAAUUAGGUGAGAGUGGGAUGAUUGAUGAAGCACAAAAACUGUUGGAUGAAGCAGAAGCUCUGAAGAAGCUGGGUGCGCGGCCACAGCCUGUUCCUGACUCUGCAAAAAUGUCCACUCACGUUCAAAUUACUGAUCAAAAGUUGCGCCUGUGUGACAUAUGUGGAGCAUUCUUGAGCGUGUAUGACAGUGACCGGCGUUUAGCAGAUCAUUUCGGAGGGAAACUCCAUAUGGGUUAUAUGCUAAUACGUGAGAAGUUGUCUGAACUGCAGGAAGAGAAAAACAAAAGGCGCAAGGUAGACCGAACUGAACAUGACAGAAGAUCCAAGGAAAGGAGCACAGAACGUGAUAGAGCAUCAAGCAGGGACCGUCAUAGAGGAGAUCGAAGCAGCAGUCGUGACAGGCACAGGGAUUAUGACCGUAGAAGUAGCCAUGAUCGCUACCAUGACAGAGAAAGUAGAUAUGACCAUGAUAAAGAAUCAGGGAGAUCUCUUAGCUAUGAUUCGAGGAGCCGCCGAAGGUCACGUUCCCCAAGGGAUAGUUCUAGGGACUAUGACCGACACGGGCGUCGUGACCGUUGAGAUGGGCACUAGAUGCAGGGAGGCUUGCAUUAGAUUUUCUGAGGUGGGCACUAGAUGCAGGCAGGCAGGCGUGCGACAUAUUAGUAACAGAAAAGAAAGGAAGUAGUGUAUCAACAUUCAACCAAUGCCCUUUUUUGGAAACAUGAUGUGCUUUAGAAGAGGUGGUCAGUCCAGAACUUGAUGAUUGCUGCUUUGGAUGGCUUGGCUCUUUUCUCUGCGACAGAAAGACCACCUUGAGGUAUCCAUCCUUGAAAGUGGUGUACUGCCUGCCUGAAGAUUUUAUAAUUUCUGAUGAUGGAUCAAAUACCCCAGCAUCCCAUGAUCACAAAUUCACAAUAUCCAGGGCAAUAUCUCUUGGGAGGACCUGCAUGGCUAGGCUGAUCGCAUCAAAGCAAGAAGUACCUCUAUUUUUGGUGUGCAUGAUAUAUUUCCUAGCACCUGAGGGCAAAUGGGUAGUCCUAGAAUAAGUGCAUUGAAGUUUCUUCCACCUUGUCGUCAUAAAGAACUCUCAAGGUCUAGCCAAAGACUUAGAGCAUCUCCAUCCGUUCGGUCUUCCAGGGCGCCGAAAAAGAGUCGCCUGAAGGCGAACCGGCGCUAGAUUGGCGCGUGGGGGUGACUCUGCUCCCAGGCGUCGGCCUACAGGACGCCGCGGGCUUGGCGCUAUUUCAUACAAUUAGUUGCAAACUCAGCGAACUUUCACGAACUCAGCGAAAUUUCAUUGAAAUUUGUACAAAAAACAUAAACACAUGCAAACUACGCCUAGGAA